AGUGAACGCUGGCGGUAGGCCUAACACAUGCAAGUCGAACGGCAGCACAGUAAGAGCUUGCCCUUACGGGUGGCGAGUGGCGGACGGGUGAGGAAUACAUCGGAAUCUACUUUUUCGUGGGGGAUAACGUAGGGAAACUUACGCUAAUACCGCAUACGACCUACGGGUGAAAGCAGUGGAUCUUCGGACCUUGCGCGAUUGAAUGAGCCGAUGUCGGAUUAGCUAGUUGGCGGGGUAAAGGCCCACCAAGGCGACGAUCCGUAGCUGGUCUGAGAGGAUGAUCAGCCACACUGGAACAGAGACACGGUCCAGACUCCUACGGGAGGCAGCAGUGGGGAAGAUUGGACAAUGGGCGCAAGCCUGAUCCAGCCAUACCGCGUUGGUGAAGAAGGCCUUCGGGUUGUAAGGCCCUUUUGUUGGGAAAGAAAAGCAACAGGUUAAUACCCAGCUGUUCUGACGGUACCCAAAGAAUGAGCACCGGCUAACUUCGUG
rnacentral:rRNA from 1 species